AGCGAACGCUGGCGGCAGGCUUAACACAUGCAAGUCGAACGGAUCCUUCGGGAUUAGUGGCGGACGGGUGAGUAACACGUGGGAACGUGCCCUUAGGUUCGGAACAACACAGGGAAACUUGUGCUAAUACCGGAUAAGCCCUUCGGGGGAAAGAUUUAUCGCCUUUGGAGCGGCCCGCGUCUGAUUAGCUUGUUGGUGAGGUAAAGGCUCACCAAGGCGACGAUCAGUAGCUGGUCUGAGAGGAUGGCCAGCCACACUGGGACUGAGACACGGCCCAGACUCCUACGGGAGGCAGCAGUGGGGAAUCUCGCGCAAUGGGCGAAAGCCUGACGCAGCCAUGCCGCGUGGAUGAUGAAGGUCUUAGGAUUGUAAAAUCCUUUCACCGGGGACGAUAAUGACGGUACCCGGAGAAGAAGCCCCGGCUAACUUCGUGCCAGCAGCCGCCGUAACAC
rnacentral:rRNA from 1 species